GUCUCUUCGGGGAUGAUUAAACCGGCGCACGGGUGAGUAACACGUGAGUGACCUGCCUUUUAGACUGGAACAACUUACCGAAAGGUGAGCUAAUGCCGGAUGAGUUAUAUAAGUGCAUGUUUAUAUAGGAAAAGUUGGGGAGACCUGACGCUGAAAGAUGGACUCGCGUCCCAUUAGCUAGUUGGUAGGGUAAUGGCCUACCAAGGCGACGAUGGGUAGCCGGCCUGAGAGGGUGGCCGGCCACACUGGGACUGAGACACGGCCCAGACUCCUACGGGAGGCAGCAGUGGGGAAUUUUGCGCAAUGCUCGUAAGAGUGACGCAGCGACGCCGCGUGAAUGACGAAGGCCUUCGGGUCGUAAAGUUCUUUCGACAGGGAAGAAAAUGCCUAUAAGUAACUGUGUAUGUAUUGACGGUACCUGUAUAAGCAGCCCCGGCUAACUCCGUGCCAGCAGCCGCGGUAAUACGGAGGGGGCGAGCGUUGUUCGGAGUGACUGGGCGUAAAGAGCACGUAGGCGGUGUUGUAAGUCAUUAGUCAAAGACUAGAGCUCAGCUUUAGUAAGGCUAGUGAUACUAUAAUACUAGAGUAUCAGAGAGGAUUGCAGAAUUCCUGGUGUAGCGGUGAAAUGCGUAGAUAUCAGGAGGAAUACCGUUAGCGAAGGCGGCAAUCUGGCUGGAAACUGACGCUGAGGUGCGAAAGCGUGGGUAGCAAACAGGAUUAGAUACCCUGGUAGUCCACGCUGUAAACGAUGGAUGCUAG
rnacentral:rRNA from 1 species